UGGCGGCAGGCCUAACACAUGCAAGUCGAACGGAUCCUUCGGGAUUAGUGGCGGACGGGUGAGUAACACGUGGGAACGUGCCCUUUGGUUCGGAACAACUCAGGGAAACUUGAGCUAAUACCGGAUGUGCCCUUCGGGGGAAAGAUUUAUCGCCAUUGGAGCGGCCCGCGUCUGAUUAGCUAGUUGGUGGGGUAAAGGCCCACCAAGGCGACGAUCAGUAGCUGGUCUGAGAGGAUGAUCAGCCACAUUGGGACUGAGACACGGCCCAAACUCCUACGGGAGGCAGCAGUGGGGAAUCUUGCGCAAUGGGCGAAAGCCUGACGCAGCCAUGCCGCGUGAAUGAUGAAGGUCUUAGGAUUGUAAAAUUCUUUCACCGGGGACGAUAAUGACGGUACCCGGAGAAGAAGCCCCGGCUAACUUCGUGCCAGCAGCCGCGGUAAUACGAAGGGGGCUAGCGUUGCUCGGAAUUACUGGGCGUAAAGGGAGCGUAGGCGGACUGUUAAGUUAGAGGUGAAAGCCCAGGGCUCAACCUUGGAAUUGCCUUUGAUACUGGCAGUCUUGAGUACGGAAGAGGUAUGUGGAAACUCCGAGUGUAGAGGUGAAAUUCGUAGAUAUUCGGAAGAACACCAGU
rnacentral:rRNA from 1 species